rnacentral:rRNA from 1 species
GUGGGGAAUUUUGGACAAUGGGCGCAAGCCUGAUCCAGCAAUGCCGCGUGCAGGAAGAAGGCCUUCGGGUUGUAAACUGCUUUUGUACGGAACGAAACGGUCCGGGUUAAUACCCUGGGCUAAUGACGGUACCGUAAGAAUAAGCACCGGCUAACUACGUGCCAGCAGCCGCGGUAAUACGUAGGGUGCAAGCGUUAAUCGGAAUUACUGGGCGUAAAGCGUGCGCAGGCGGUUUUGUAAGACAGGCGUGAAAUCCCCGAGCGCAACCUGGGAAUUGCGCUUGUGACUGCAAGGCUGGAGUGCGGCAGAGGGGGAUGGAAUUCCGCGUGUAGCAGUGAAAUGCGUAGAUAUGCGGAGGAACACCGAUGGCGAAGGCAAUCCCCUGGGCCUGCACUGACGCUCAUGCACGAAAGCGUGGGGAGCAAACAGGAUUAGAAACCCCGGUAGUCC